UUAACCAAUAGAAGAUACUUUGGAUUAAAAUAUUGAUAAAGGUCCUGUUCCAGGUAUGUUUCGACUAAAGAGCAGUAGAACUUCCAUGACAUGGACACUCUUUCUAUUGUUUUUGUUAACGGCGCAGUUGCAAGAAGGAGAUGCGGUUACGAGUCUCAAGCUUAAAAAGAUUCU